rnacentral:misc_RNA from 1 species
UUAAGUUCAGCGGGUAUUCCUACCUGAUCCGAGGUCAACCAUUAAAAAGUUUGCAAGAUGCAAGUUUGUGGCUAUCGUACGACUGUCUUCAGAAAGCGAGAUAAUGAAUUACUACGCUCAGAGUACAGCUGUGCUCUGCCAACUAGAUUUAAGGAGCUGCGGUUAAGCAGAUUCCCAAUACUAAGCUAAGCUUAAGGGUU